rnacentral:tRNA from 1 species
GCGGGUGUAGCUCAAUGGCAGAGCAGGAGCUUCCCAAGCUCACGACGAGGGUUCGAUUCCCUUCACCCGCUCCA